rnacentral:rRNA from 1 species
UACGAAGGGGGCUAGCGUUGCUCGGAAUUACUGGGCGUAAAGGGCGCGUAGGCGGAUGAUUAAGUCGAGGGUGAAAGCCCGGGGCUCAACCUCGGAACUGCCUUUGAUACUGGUCAUCUUGAGUACGGGAGAGGUGUGUGGAACUCCGAGUGUAGAGGUGAAAUUCGUAGAUAUUCGGAAGAACACCAGUGGCGAAGGCGACUCACUGGACACGUAUUGACGCUGAGGUGCGAAAGCGUGGGGAGCAAACAGG